CUUCGAAAGCUUUAUCUGUAAUCGAAAGACAAAUCAUAAACUUCAGGGAUUGCAUAAACCAGGUUAAUAUCAUCUGGGGUUGAAUUUUACAGGCAAUCAUGUCAGUCACAGCCGGUGUCAGUGAUAUUGCUCUAGCUGUCAGGGACAAGCUUAGAGGUAAAAUUGGGCAAACUAAAGUUAAAAGGUAUUGGCCUGGCAAAGCACCCGAGUGGGCUGAUGAUGCUGAUGAAGAUGGGGAUAUCAAAAUGGCUAGGGCAGAUGCCCUGGAGAAAGCUUUUCCUACUCAGGAAGAUUCAGAUUUUGCUAGGAAAGAUGAUCCUAGACUGCGUCGUCUGGCUGAGAGCAGGAUUGAUAACCGUGACGAAGUGAGAGCUGAUCACCGGCGCAUCCGGCAAGCUGAAAUUAUUGCAACAGAAGAGGAGGAAACCCGGAGACAAGAAUGGGCAGAUAUGGAGGAAGAGAAUGAGGAAGCCUUGGAGGAAAGAAGAAGAAGAAUUAAGGAGAAGUCACGUCUGAGAGAGCAAGAAGAAGCUGCACUUCCGGCUGAAGAAGAGGAGGAAGAAGCGGAAGAAGAGGAGGAAGAGGAAUCUGAAUAUGAAACUGACUCUGAAGAAGAAACAAUGGGUUUGGCCAUGGUCAAGCCAAUCUUUGUGCCAAAGUCUGAGAGAGAAACCAUAGCUGAGCGUGAGCGGCUUGAGGCUGAAGAACGAGCUAUUGAGGAAAAGGAAAGGAGGGAAUUGGAGGAAAGGA
rnacentral:misc_RNA from 1 species